UAAUUUCAGCAUACUGUCCAUAGUGGUUUUGAAGUUCCAGAAAAAAAAAUCCAGAUAUUUUAAAUGUAUGUUUAUAAUGGUUUGCAUAAAUAUUUUUGUAACAUUAAACUCCUUUUAACAACGUGACUCUGCUCAGUCCUCUUUAGAAUGAAUGACAUGCCAGCUUUGAGGAAGUGCUGGUGUAGAAUGUUACUUGAGAACUCCAGCCCCAAGGGGUUUAGACUUUGUCUUCUCAUUAAUGGCUCAAUAGAGUAAAGACUUGGCACUACAUCUGAAAUGGGAAAAAAAAAAAUGUCUUGCUAUUCUAUUCCAUAGCACUGCGUUCUGCAGGUUUCAGGUCUUUUAGAAGAAACGUCAGCCACCCUUCUCCAACAUCCAGCACAGGGCACAGAUGAGCAGCAACACAGAAUUCUUCAGCAUUUUACUGAGGCAAAGAAGUGGUGUGCUGAGAACAUUUCUGUGUUCAGAGGGCACAUCUCACUCCCUUUAUUACUGUCAAUGGACAAACACAACAUUGAGGAGGCCAUUUAGAAAUUUGAUUUGCUAUCUGAAUUUCCAGAAGAAGAGAAGAGGGAAUAUGUCAUUAGACUCUUCAUCAUCCUUUAUGUCACAUAUGGAAGACAUGUAUCUGUUUUUAGAUAACAUGAGAGGAAAAAGGAAAAUUACUGCUUCGUCAGAAAAUGUAACCAACAUACAUGUCCCUCGUUGUUCAGUUACAACCUACAACUCUUUUUCUAUAUUUUAUAUAUUCUUUAACUUUUUGUAAUAAAUGUCGCAAAC